GAUGAAGAACGUAGCGAAAUGCGAUAAGUAGUGUGAAUUGCAGAAUUCAGUGAAUCAUCGAAUCUUUGAACGCACAUUGCGCCCCUUGGUAUUCCAUGGGGCAUGCCUGUUCGAGCGUCAUUUGUACCUUCAAGCCUUGCUUGGUGUUGGGUGUUUGUCUCGCCUCUGCGCGCAGACUCGCCUCAAAACAAUUGGCAGCCGGCGUAUUGAUUUCGGAGCGCAGUACAUCUCGCGCUUUGCACUCAGAACGACGACGUCCAAAAGUACAUUUUUACACUCUUGACCUCGGAUCAAGUAGGGAUACCCGCUGAACUUAAGCAUAUCAAUAAGCGGAGGA
rnacentral:misc_RNA from 1 species